CCGAACCCAGCAGAAGAUCUGAACAGGUGGCUGUGGUUUUCCUGCCCAGCCCACUACCACUGGGCCGUAGAUGAGAUGGAUAUCUUGUCCAGCCCGCUGCCACUGGACCAUUUCUGCAGGGCCCAUCUAUCACCCCAUCUUGCAGUGUGGAGCCUCGAGUUCUCCAAAUGUCCAGAUCGCAGCUGUCACUGAGCAGUUGCAUCUGUUACACAGUAAAGGAGUCCUAGAGAAGUGCUGCCAAGGGGAACUCAUAAAAAAGCCGCUGCUGGAGACUCAGAUGUGCCCUGCUGAGCGAGGCAGUCUCCUCCUACUUACCGUGCUGCAGUGAGCCGCAGUCACCCGCGGGGGAGUUGAAGAAUAAGUUGAAUAUGGUUGAACACGGUGGCAUCAUACUGCUCAGCCAUCUCUGGGGUUAACUGCAGAUGAGAUAAUUCCUGUAUAACUCCUGGAUCCUCUAGGGCAUUCUGCCACUGUAUCCACACUUCAUGGUACAAGGGCGAAUGGACAGAUCUCCAGCUUCCAAGUGAAACGUGAAGGCGACUCGACAAGGAUUUCUGUUAGGACAAUAGUUUUGCUUCAUGAAGACCAGGAAGGCUUGAACUCAGGACAAUGGGUAUCUUGAAUUUACUCAGUUCCCAUCUCUUAAGUUAUUAAACAUUAUUUCCCACCUGUCUUGUGUAUUUUUGCUUGAUCCCUAUAAUAUGGGGGCAGGCAUAAUUUUGUAUAACCCCUGUAAGACGUGUGCCAGGUACAAUUGGCCCUAUUUCCUAUGUGGGGAAACUGAGACUCAGAGCAGAGAAGCGACUCUCCUAAGUCACACGUUGUAUUGCUGGCAGAGUCUCGGGCAGGAGUCGUGCCUCCUGAUUUCCAGGUACAUGCUGCUUUUGCUAGAACCAAUCUAUUAAAGAACCAAGACUCUUUUAUUUGGAAUUAAUGAGGGAUUCCAAAAAUAGUGUUAGCAGUGCUUAACAAAUUUGAAAGAGCAAAGGAACUGAAGCCAGAGAAGACUGAGAUAGGGGAGCUGUUUCAUUGUAUCAAUUUCUAUUCACUUUGUUAAUAAUUGAUGCCACAUUUACUCAUUGUUAUAUAUUAAAAAUACUUGAUUUGCUACAAGGUAAAAAUGACCCAUUGACUUUGUCUCUCAACCUACGCUAACCCUAAAUGAGAAUCUCAUUGUGACCACGAUUUUGCAAAAUUGAUUAAAUGGAAAUAAAUGCAUUCAAGUGUCAAAGGCUGCAUUGGGAAUGGUUGCUAAUGAGCUUGACCUUUCAGAGCUUCCUGGCUGGGUGCACAGUAGGUGUUCAAUGAGUACUGAUGGAUGUCUUGACUGACUGAGAUUUCGGUUAGCCUUCCAUCCCCGGGAGCAUGGUGCCUCUAAUGUGUUAGAUGGCAUCAUGUUCCAAAAAUGAAUCGAUCUAUAAAUUUGAAGACUAAUUUGGAAACAUUUUAACCUUACUAAACAGAAUAGUAUGAUAAAACCUAGGUACCCUACGCCAGCUUCAAAUCAAUAUUCUGCUGUUUUUGUUUACUUCCCUUAACACACAUCACUGCCUCCCCACCCCCAACACACACACACUUUUUUGUUUUUGAGACAGAGUCUCGCUCUGUCACCGAGGCUGGGGUGUAGUGGCGCCAUCUCGGCUCACUGCAAGCUCCGCCUCCUGGGUUCAUGCCAUUCUCCUGUCUCGGCCUCCCAGUCUCCAGAGUAGCUGGGACUUCAGGUGUCCACUUUUUUUUUUUUUUUUUGGCUGAAGUACCAUAAAGGAAAUUUCAAACAUUGUGUCAUUCACCUGUGAAUAAAUCUGUAUGUACCUCCAAUAGAUAGACUAAAAAAACCACAACCUUAUCACCACAACACAAUUAGCCAUUGUUUCUUAAUAUCAUAGGAGGCCUCUUCCAUGCUGAAUGCUCCAU
rnacentral:lncRNA from 1 species